ensembl:lncRNA
GUGGGAGGAGGAAGGAACCGGGGCAGGCAGGCGGAUGGCUGGGCGGGAGGCACUGCAGCACAGCCCAGCAGCCCCAGAGAGACUUUCAGAGGCUCUGCCCACAGCUCAAAGCCUAGCUGGAAUGUUGCUGUUUUCGCAGAGAAAAAUCAAAGGAAAGGGAUUAUAAUUAUGGGUCAAGUCUUGAGCAGGAAGCAGUUGCGGGCGCUGGGGGCUCCCCUUGCUUGGGCGUCUUUUGUAUCAGCAAAGAGCCAGGCAUCCUAGAGGCGGGCUGAAAGGGACAUGACCAGGGUUUUUGCCUCUUCCCAUUUUCUCCCAUUUCUUGCCCUCAUCAAAUGCCGGGCUCCUGUUGUCUCUUGAAUUGUUCUCGGUGAAGCAAAUGCCUACAGCCAGGUAUGAAAUGCCCAGCUCAUCAGCCGCAGAGGACCCUGGGCCUCCUAGCCCCAGUGGCCCCCAACUUCCUUACGGGACUGGCAUGGACCAUCCCCACCCACCACCACCAUCCCCACCCCGAGAUUCUGGGCUAUCCAGAGACUCACAGUGGAGCACCAUUCAUUAGUCCUACCCAAGUCUCAGAAGUCCUUUUCCAACCUGGCCAGCUGGGAGAAGAAAAGAGAAAAGGAAGAGAGAGAGAGAGAAGGAAUAGCAGCCCUCGCUUUGAGCUGAAACUCUCCUUCCCUCCUUGCAAGCACAGCGACCUGCCCGACCCACAAAGUCUUCCGAGUUUCAUCCGCCUCCACGAACGCCAGACUUGAAAGUCCCACCUGAGGCUCAUGUUUUCAAAUCUCUUGGUUUUUUUUUUAACACAAACUUUCAGCAUCAACUUGAAGCUGCCAUUAAAAACCCCAGGCCUGGCGGUCCUGCAGUUGAGCAUUUCCACCUGGAUUUGAGUAAACAGCCAUGAAUAAUCCAGUGUUUCCUGCAGGGCCACAUGCCCUGUCCACCCCCCCCCCCCGCCCUCCCCCUCCCCAAGGGUCUGGGAGACCAGACCUUCCUGUCUCAAACCGCUGACUCAGAACAUGUGAGCUGGAGAGUGCCAUGGAGUCACUGCCUCUGAUGCCCUCCUGUGAUGGAGGAGGAGAAGAAAACCACCCAAGCUCAAAGGAGGGUGAGCAACAACCACCUACCUUCCCUACUCUUCACAAAACAGCCCGGCAGCUCCAGGGAUGGCCCAGCGCCGAGUUCCUACAGAACCAAGGGGAACCUGCAUGUUUACGGUCCUGGCCAGAAACAGCAAGGCCCUGCUCAGUACUGGCCCCAUGGGUGACCUCAACAAAGUGUUUUCCCUCCUUUGACCCUAAACCCACAUCUUUCUAAGGAGGAGGAUAGAGCAAGUGGCUGGCAGUGCCCUUUGCAGCUGGGAUGAGUUAGGACACAUUAACGGAACAAGUGCCACCCCACAGGAGGGUGGUUGGAAGCAUGUUGUCCCAAAUUCAAAUCUAGCUCUCCCAGUUAGGGAGUGGAUGAGCCAGGAUCAGUCACUCCGCUUCACUGAGCCAGGGUUUCUGCACUGAAAUCAGGGGUAACAAGAGCCCACCUGAUGGAACUGUGGGAUCCAAUGAGCUGGUUCAUGCAAAAUGCUCAGCACAGAGCAAGGGACACAGUGAGUGCUUAGCACUUGGUAUUAUUAUUUUCUUCUCUUGGAAAACUAAUCAGAUAACAAGGCACCCAGCCCUCUAAUUCUGGAGAACAGUGCAUGAUGGAGCCCUGGAGGUGUGGGAACAUGGAUGAAGGCGAGGUCACUGGGCAGCACGGGAUAUCAGAGGGCUGUGGCCCCUGCAAGACCACGCACUCAUUCCUGUUGCAGAGCCAGACACACCGGCUGCUACAGUGUGCUGUUGGUCAACAAGGGGGAGACUAGGAGCCACCCGCAUGGAAAACAAAUUGACUGAAUGAUUUGCAUUCCCCCAGCUCCCACACUCAGGCACUGGGGCCACCCCUGGAGCAUGUUAAAAGGCUGACUGUCUGCAGAGGUGGAGGCAGGAUGUGGGGGGAGGAGAGAGGAAGACACUGGAGGCCCCAAGAUCCACCAUCCAGCCUCUCUACCCUCAUCACUGCCUGGAGGCUAGUCCAUGUGUUCAAAAUCAAUGGCCAUCAUGCUCUCUGCUUCUGCUUGCGACAGGACAAACAGGGAAGAGCAGAAGGAGAAGGAAGAGGGAGAGGAGAGUGGAUUGGGGUUAUCUAUCCCCACCCCUAAUGCCUCCAUUAGGGCCUGACCCAUGGACAGCGUCAACUAGAUGAAGCCUGAAAGCAUCUUUUUCACUGAAGUUUGGCAGACUUUGGGUCAGAUCUUGUUCUAAUACUUACCAGUCAUGUGACGUAGAUGGCCUGAUCUGUGGACAUGCAGCUCACACCUGCUACAGCCAUCUCACUACCCCCAAGGAAAGCAUCUUGAGGAUAAAACCAACUCACAGAGGUUGGGGAAAUGGAGCCAGACUCUGGUGAAUCCAGCCUAAAGUUCACACUGCUUUCUUGAUACCCAAACCAAUAAUGUUCAUUUUUAGAAGUCAGGUUAAAUUGGGUUUUUGUCUACUUGUCUUAAAUUGCAUCUAGUGGAUUGAGACUUUGUUACCAGAAGUGGAAUGUUGACAUAAUUGACCCUAAACAUCAGACAAAGUGUUUACAACACGCCAAAGAGAUGUGCUGGCAAACAACAAAGAUGCUGUCAUCUAGGGCUGCUGUGCACAGCGCCCUACACAGCCCCAGGGCGCAUUCAUCGAAACUGCAUAGCCAUC